rnacentral:rRNA from 1 species
GACGUAGGGCGCGAGCGUUGUCCGGAAUUAUUGGGCGUAAAGGGCUCGUAGGCGGUUUGUCGCGUCGGGUGUGAAAACCUCGGGCUUAACUCGGGGCUUGCUUUCGAUACGGGCAGACUAGAGGUAUGCAGGGGAGAACGGAAUUCCUGGUGUAGCGGUGAAAUGCGCAGAUAUCAGGAAGAACACCCGUGGCGAAGGCGGCUCUCUGGGACGGUACUGACGCUGAGACGCGAAAGCGUGGGGAGCGAACAGG